rnacentral:rRNA from 1 species
GACGAACCGUGCGAACGUUGUUCGGAAUCACUGGGCUUAAAGGGCGCGUAGGCGGGCCGUCAAGUCAGGGGUGAAAGCCCGCAGCUCAACUGCGGAAGCGCCUUUGAUACUGGGGGCCUCGAGGGGGGUAGGGGCGUGCGGAACUUCCGGUGGAGCGGUGAAAUGCGUAGAUAUCGGAAGGAACACCGGUGGCGAAAGCGGCGCGCUGGACCCCUUCUGACGCUGAGGCGCGAAAGCCAGGGGAGCAAACGGG